rnacentral:rRNA from 1 species
AAGGCCCUAUCUUCCCUGUUACUUCUUGUGGGAUGGGAGAUAUGGAAUGAAAGGAAUUCUCGUGUCUUCAGGAGCAAAGCGGCGCCGGUGGCGAUUGUCAUGCUACGCAUCAAAGAGGAAGUUUCGAUUUGGGCCGUUGCAGGCGCUAAGCAUUUGCGUAAUGUAAUGCCGCGAGAGUAA